UACAGAGGUCCCGAGCGUUGUUCGGAUUCAUUGGGCGUAAAGGGUGCGUAGGUGGCGCUGUAAGUGGGGUGUGAAAUCCCCAGGCUUAACCGUGGGAACUGCAUCCGAUACUGGAUGGCUUGAAUCCGGGAGAGGGAUGCAGAAUUCCAGGUGUAGCGGUGAAAUGCGUAGAUAUCUGGAGGAAUACCGGUGGCGAAGGCGGCAUCCUGGACCGGCAUUGACGCUGAUGAGCGAAAGCUAGGGGAGCAAACGGGG
rnacentral:rRNA from 1 species